UCGUGCAGCCGGGGAGAUAGCGGUGCCCUGUACCUGCAAUCCGCUACAGCAGGGGUGAUAUCCAUCCGAGGUUCGUAUCUGUAGGGCCUGCCGCGGGUGACGCGGUGUUGACGAUCGGGUCUCGCGCAAUAGAAUCUUUCGAACCGUGUCAGGUCCGGAAGGAAGCAGCACUAAGGAAGUCCUUCUAUGUGCCGUGAGGAAGCCUGGUCUGAGCUGGCUGCUCGCGUAACGCCUAUGGGUGCGUAUCGAAGAUGGAUGCACGG
rnacentral:SRP_RNA from 1 species